GCUUUAUCCUAUUAAAAAUAAAAUUGGAUGAAAUUAUAUAUCACACGCUACAAAGUACAAUCGGACUUCGAUGAAAAAUGCCCAAAAAUGAUGAGCUCAACAUUGGUGAUCCUUGUGUCUGUGACGACCGUGGCGAUUCUGUCCGGCGAAGCUUCCGCCGCGCUGCCCACUCAGUGCAACACGGGAUUUCUCGAGGAGCUUCCGCCCAGACUACGUAAACUUUGCUUCGCUAUUGCCAGAUUAUGGGACGCCAGGGACGUGAAUGACUUUGUCGACGACAGUGAAUAUCGAGAGAACUUGCCCCGAUACGCCAGCGGUGUCAAGAGGCAAGACGUCGAUCAUGUAUUCUUGCGCUUUGGAAAACGACGUUAGAAACGGCAUCACACCCUGCUCUGUAUUCGCAAGCGAUGGACGAUUAAGUUCCCUUUAGAUCGUUCGAUCGUCUCGUCAUCUACUCGUAGGACAUUUGUCGAAUGUAAAAAACAAAAAAAAUAUUUACAACCGUCGCCAACAGAUGAUCGCCUAAAUUCCAUUAAUGUUGAACAAUCUGGCCUCUUUGGUGAUUUUCAUUCUUACUGCGCACAAACAGCGUUUAGAGAACAAAUUGAUACCCCCGAGCGUUGAAUCACUGUAACAGUGAUUGCAUUAUUUUUAACGUCUCUACGUCUUACUCGUUGGAUAUAUUCGCAACGUUAUGAAUGUAUUGUCACUCAACAGACACGGAAUUGUAUUGUCAUGGAACAGACGAAACUGUAAGAUAUGGCCGAUGCGAUACAUGCUAAUGUACGUAUAUUGUGAGGUAAUAAUAUAUUUAUUAUAACAAGUAUAUGCAUAUGCAAGUAUAUAUAAAGUGAUUC
rnacentral:misc_RNA from 1 species